CCGCAAGCGUCCACAACACUCUCCCAGCUUAGACAGGGCCCGCCACGCGGCUUGAGGGCCCUAGCAAACUCGCAGGCCCCAAGAAGGCGGGGCGGCGGCGACAACACACAAUGGCUGCGUCGUCAGCGGUGAACAAAAACCUUGCUCAGGUCCUCUCCAAUCGGCCCGCCCAGCCAAAAAAGUGACCUUGGACGCCUUCUUCCCCUCCUUCAACCUUAGUUUCCUGGUUUGCAAAAGAGGUCCGGUCAGCCAGGCCGCGGGUGGGCGAGCGGCGCCCCAGAUAGAGACUUCCCUAUUUCCGACGCGAAUGCGGCGCCGGGCUCCGACAUCCGCGCGCUCUCUGGGGCCGAGUAGGCUGAGCGGGCCCGACCCCGAGAGGCGCGGUUCCGGGCUGCCCGAACGAGCCGCGACUGGCGGGCACCAACUCCGCUGCAGGUCGAGAAGCCGCCCGCACUGCCCUGACUUCCCGCCUCCAUCCGGCGAAGCCUAGUCUUACUUGGAGCUGGUGUGAUCAGGCAGACGCCACAGCCAACGCGCUCGAGCAAGGACGUGCCUCCUCCAGCAGCCGCCGAGGAGACCCGCUCAAGCAGGACUCCACCGCCUCACCGAGACCCACUUCCGCUCGGCCGGCCCCCGGCCCGCCCUUCACAGUCCCCAUUGGCCUCCGCCGCCCAUAAUCCCGUGCUUUACCGGUUUAGGAGUCUCGUUCGCAAUGCUAUUGGGGCCAGCCUUUCUCGAAGUUCCACAACAGACAUCUCGCCUUCCAGACCAUAUCCUGGGAUCUUCCAAAGAACAAGGGAAGACCUUAAGCUUGCAGCUGUAAAGCCAGGUGCCCCUCAACCAAGAAGACCUUUCCUCUGCUUCAGUCUGCCUGUGUAACCCCCAUCAGCAGCUCCAGCCUGGAACCCUACAGUGAAGCUGAACUUCUCAGCUAGAUGCCCCUCACCCUGGGGCUAGGGUUUCUCUGUGUAGCCCUGGCUGUUCUGGAACUUGAGACUAGGCUGGCCUCAAAUUCAGAGAUCCACCUGCCUCUGCCUCCUGAGUGCUAAGUGACAGGGGUGUAACCAGCGACCAUGCCUGUCUCAAGUAAGUAAGCAAGAAAAAAACAAAGAAAGAUGCCUGUUCCUGCACUGUGAGCCUCUGCCCUAAGCAGAGUUACAGGGAUCCCAGGCCUGGUUUACAUCAUCUGGGACCAAGAGAUAGAGGGCCAGGCCCAUGGUAAGUACAUAGCUGAGAGCUUCCUGAUGGAAAUAAGGAAAAGCCAACUCAUGGUCAGGCAGCAACCCUUACCACAGAGAAUCUGAAAGAUGACACAGCUCUGCAGAAAAGGUACCAUCUUGGGAACAAGCCAUGCAAAUAAGAACUCAGAGGUUGCUUUUGCUAAAUGCACUGACUUCACAUGGGCUGCAGAUGUCUGACAGCUAAAGGCAGGACAAAAACAUGGCAGCUUUGCCUUCA